rnacentral:rRNA from 1 species
GACGAACGCUGGCGGCGUGCUUAACACAUGCAAGUCGAACGAUGAUGCUGGAGCUUGCUCCAGUUGAUUAGUGGCGAACGGGUGAGUAACACGUGAGCAAUCUGCCCUUGACUCUGGGAUAACUGCGGGAAACUGUAGCUAAUACCGGAUACUUUCACCGGAAGGCAUCUUCUGGUGAUGAAAGAAUUUCGGUCAGGGAUGAGCUCGCGGCCUAUCAGCUUGUUGGUGAGGUAACGGCUCACCAAGGCGACGACGGGUAGCCGGCCUGAGAGGGUGACCGGCCACACUGGGACUGAGACACGGCCCAGACUCCUACGGGAGGCAGCAGUGGGGAAUAUUGCACAAUGGGCGCAAGCCUGAUGCAGCAACGCCGCGUGAGGGAUGAAGGCCUUCGGGUUGUAAACCUCUUUUAGCAGGGAAGAAGCGAAAGUGACGGUACCUGCAGAAAAAGCACCGGCUAACUACGUGCCAGCCGCCGCAGUAA